rnacentral:rRNA from 1 species
CAGUGACCUAGUUCAACGGCCGCGGUAUCCUAACCGUGCGAAGGUAGCGUAAUCACUUGUUCUUUAAAUAAGGACUAGUAUGAAUGGCACCACGAGGGUUAUACUGUCUCCUCUUUCUAAUCAGUGAAACUAAUCUUCCCGUGAAGAAGCGGGAAUUAAUAUAUAAGACGAGAAGACCCUAUGGAGCUUUAAAUAUAUAACAAAUGCUUAUUUUUUACUCUCAUUCAGAUGACUGACUAUUAUUUUAGCAUUUUGACCUAUAAAUUUUAGGUUGGGGUGACCAUGGAGCAAAAAUUAACCUCCAUAUUGGAAAAACCUUAUUUUUAAGCAAAAAGUUACCACUUUAGGCAUCAACACACUGACAUUAAUUGACCCAAUAAUUUGAUCAAUGAACCAAGUUACCCUAGGGAUAACAGCGCAAUCUACUU